rnacentral:sRNA from 1 species
AGCAUUAUAGAACUUGGGGAGCAUGAGAAAUACACGGAGGUGGAAACGCCGGAGUGGCUGGCGGGUAAAGGCAGCGGGCGCAGAUGAAGCGGGCUGGGCGUCCCAGGCGCUGAACCGUCCCGGACAGAAGCCGCAGGGGCUGCACCGGCUGGAAAAAGGAACGCGAGGACAGCGCGCGUGGCGCGGGGUCUGCUCCAGGACGGAAUCCUCUGGGUGGCCUGCAUGAGGGGUUUGCAGGACCCCGGGCCUUUGGGAAGUUCUCUGCUAAACUCCAGUAGAGCCUGAGGAGCAGCGGCUCAUGAAUCUUCUUAAACUUCUGUCAUCAGCGGCUGGGCCAGCUGAAGGUGACCAUGGCACACGAGGGAGAGAAGCCUGCGAGAGGCGGAGAAUUGUGGGGUCGUCCAGGAGGGUCGACAAGGCAAAGAACCUGAAGACCACCCAAAAGGAGUUGAACUUCCUCUCUUUUUAGAAGAAUGGAUUUCUUGGAGUCCAAAAAAUUUAUGGUUCUUCUCUGGAAGAAUUUUAUUUUAAAGAGGCGGCGAUGUAUUGCUUUAGUUG